UAUACACACAUUUUGUGUUAUAGAGGAGAUUGUUCAGGUAGCAGAACCUGCCUAAAUCCUGUAGGAGUUCUGUAGGAGAAGCCCUCGGGCCAGCUGGAAGACCAGUGCAGGGGAGGUGUGGAGACUCCAUCAACACCAUCAUCAUCAUCAUCAUCACAAGAGCAGCUUAAACAUCUCUAAUUGGAUCUGAGGGAAUUAAUCGUCAUGGCAACGGUACGAGGAAACAGGAACUCGUGUGAAUUUGAUGGCUUUGGUGAGACGUUUCUGCUGAAAUGAGAGACAAGACAUUUCAUCAUUAGAUGGAGACCAGACACUGAAGAGCAUCUCGGAAACAGGUCUUUAAUUCCUGAUGCUGUACUGAUCCUGAGGAAGCUAUUAAAGAAAAUCUCCAACAUUUGACCUUUAAUCAUUCCACAUGAAUCCUACAGACAUCUCAAACAUGACAUGCUAAUGCUAACCAAGCCAUACGCCACAUCAAUGGUAUCGGGACAUCUGACUUUUUUAUGUGAUUCAUCAUCAAACCUUUAGCACAAAGACACAGUUGAAAUUUAAUCUUCACUUGAACUAGGAGACCCAAACCUGUUCCAGCAGGACACUGCCCAAAACCAGCUCCAUGACUUCUGCUUUGGAAUGGAAUGCAAGUGUGUGGAAGAUCUCCUGCUCUAGACCCACAUCCCUGUUGAACAAUGACUGUAAAUGCUGACUGCACCCCAGACCUCCUCACCUUCUCACCUGCAUCAGUACCUGACUUUACCAACGCCCUUGUGUCCAAAAGAACCUCCACAAAUCUCAACACAAUCUAGUGGAACAUCUUCCCAGAAGAGUUAAGCUCAUUAUAACAGCACCUGAAGACUAACUGUGGAAUGAGAUGUUCAUAAAAAAGUGCUCGAGUGACCAGAAA